GACGGAUGGGGCUAGCGUUGUUCGGAAUUACUGGGCGUAAAGGGCGCGUAGGCGGCCAUUUAAGUUAGACGUGAAAGCCCUGGGCUUAACCUAGGAACUGCGUUUAAUACUAGAUGGCUAGAGUAUGGUAGAGGAAAGCGGAAUUCCUAGUGUAGAGGUGAAAUUCGUAGAUAUUAGGAAGAACACCAGAGGCGAAGGCGGCUUUCUGGACCAUUACUGACGCUGAGGCGCGAAAGCGUGGGGAGCAAACAGG
rnacentral:rRNA from 1 species